rnacentral:rRNA from 1 species
AACGAACGCUGGCGGCAUGCCUAACACAUGCAAGUCGAACGAGACCUUCGUGCCUAUUGGAGCACGGGUGCGUAACGCGUGGUAACUUGCCCUUAGGUUCGGAAUACCUCCCCGAAAGGGGUGUUAAUACCGGAUAAUGUCUUCGGACCAACGAUUUAUCGCCUUUGGAUGGGCCCGCGUUGGUUUAGCUGGUUGGUAGGGUAAAAGCGUGCCAAGGCGACGAUGCAUAGCUGGUGUGAUAGCAGGAUCAACCCGACUGGGACUGAGACCCGGCCCAGACUCCUACGGGACGCAGCAGUGGGGAAUAUUGGGCACGGGGCGAAAGCCUGAUACAGCCAUGCCGCGGAUGUGAUGAAGGGCUUUGGGUUGUAAAGCUCUUUUACCCGGGAUGAUAAUGACAGUACCGGGAGAAUAAGCUCCGGCUAACUCCGUG